rnacentral:sRNA from 1 species
UUGAUUUAUUCGCUGAGUUCUCAUGAUGAUGAGAAACGGGGGAACCAUGAUGGAAGCCUUGGCUUCUUGGGGUGAAUCGGAAGGUUGAAUCCCUUCUGUAGGGUACGCUCUCAAACCCGAAUCCGACAGCUAACCUCGUAAGCGAUUGUUGAGAGAGGUC